GUCAAGUGCAAAAUAAGCAAAAGAGUGGUGACUUACUGUUCUUCCUGGUGGUCCUGUAGGCCCCGUCUCCCCUGGUGUCCCCGGGUGACCCUAUCACAUGCACACACACAGUACACAGAUUACAACUGACCGUGUUAUACCAUCGAUACCAUGAUGCUCUAAAAAACCAUAAAAUGUGACUUUAUUAGACAGGUUUUUAAGACAGAAACACUGAAUUCUACAUUUUUUAGGUUAUAAAUCGGAUUUCAGUCACACAUACAAGCACAAGUAAACAUACAUCCGCAGAAAAAACUCCACACACUAGAGACAACAGGGAGAAGAACCAGAGGAGAUGAUUUUCUAUCUGAAAAAAACGGAUUGCUUUCGGAUGCUUUUUUUGGCCUGACCGUUUCCAAAAGCAUAACUAUGUAAUGGGGAGUAUUUUCAGCCAGACCACUCAGAUCAGCUGUGUGCAAUAAAGUUGAACCAAUACGCAAAAACCCAUAGCACAUUGGGCAGCUCUGAUCUCAUGCAUCCACGGGAAAAUAAAUCAUAAAGCCUGCACUAUGAGCUCUCUGUCAACAGCUCGUAUGAUGCAGUGUUUUCCAGAGGGUCUGUUUCUGUUUGAAGGUGCAGACAACUUCCUUAUAAGUGUGUGUGUGUGUGUGUGUGUGGGUUUGUGUGCGUAUGCGUGAUCACGUCCUGAGACAAAUCCAACUCGCUGUCAGCCGGCAAGAAACAUCUCUCUGUUUCAGCGAGAAUGAUGGCUACAUUAUUUCCCACUCCAGCCGGUGAUGCCGUGUACGUCAGGUCCUUAUCAGAUACACGACAUGACAGAGCGGACAUUUGUUCUGUUUGAGAGAGCAAGUGAAUCCCAGUGGCAUUGAGAAGGAGAAGUCACCACAUCCUCGGGACCAUCAAAGAGGUAGAUCAUUGGAAGUGGUCCAGGAUGACCCAUCUCCCCUCGAUCCCCCUAAAUGGACAUGACCGCGACAUUAAAGUCUUCAAAGUCACCCUGGGAGGACUUACAUGAAUACAUUUACGAGGAAAGGAAAAGUUA